AAAUAAAAAAAAUAGAAUAAUAAUUAAAAAAAAAAAGUAAUAAAAGGUUGUGCCAAAUAGGUCCAGUUCAGCAUUAUGCCAGACAGCUAGUGUCUGACGCUGGUUUUCAACUGGACCUAUGAGGAGUUGCGGGUGUCGAUCGGUAUGAAAUCAUUUAUGCUCUAAAGACAAAAAAUAAUAAAACUACUAAACUACUAAAAAUAACUAAAAAAAUAAAUAAAAAAAGGAACCAUAAUCAUAAUCAGAAGGAUUAGUCACAAAAAUAAAAUAAAAAGUGGAGGUAAACGUAAAUAAAUUCAUACCGUGACUAAUCGCAAUCCUGACUAAGCAUCACUCAGCGACGACUUUUUUCACACAGAUGAAAUGUGGUGUUAAACACAUUCACAGAGCCGUAACUGGUUGCAACAUCUGUUUUCAUUGUGCCACCGAUCAUUGCCGACAUAUAUUAGUGCAAAAUAAGCAAUUAUAAGUUGUGCAAACUCGUAAAAUACAAUUUUUACAUAGCUGUUAGUUGCCAGCAGUCCACAUUGAGUGAGUAUAUUUUACAGUAAUUUUUUUUCCCGUAUACGUGCAUACAAUAUGUUUUAUUAUAUAUUAAUUUUACAUUUCAGGUACCUACCCUAUGUUCUUGAGAAGAAAAAAAAAAUGCAUAUUAAGUAAUCAUAUCAUUCAGGCGAAGGUACAUAAGACGUUUGCAAGUGCAAAGUUCACUUCCCUGUACAAAAAUGAUCACCGUGCACCAUGUACACGCCGUAGGGUGCACCUAUUGCCAGAAGGCCAUACCCACAAGGCCUCCAGACAUGGCGCACCCAUAACGCAUCAUGGCCGGUGACCCAAGAGAGACCAGGAAUACUCAAUUUAAGCUGUGAGAAUACACUACACACAUUACAUACACAUUAGCCUCACGCAUUGUCAUAAAACUACAGUAGUAUGCUAAGUGGGCGAUAUAAAUAAGAUUUAUAUCCGUUUCUUAUUGAUAUAAUUUAAAAUUUAGAUAAUAGAAAUAUUUGCCUUCGUCA